UACGGGGGGGGGCAAGCGUUGUUCGGAAUUACUGGGCGUAAAGGGCUCGUAGGUGGCCAACUAAGUCACACGUGAAAUCCCUCGGCUCAACCGGGGAACUGCGUGUGAUACUGGCGGGCUUGAAUUCGGGAGAGGGAUGUGGAAUUCCAGGUGUAGCGGUGAAAUGCGUAGAUAUCCGGAGGAACACCGGUGGCGAAGGCGGCUUCCUGGACCGACACUGACGCUGAGGCGCGAAAGCUAGGGGAGCAAACGGG
rnacentral:rRNA from 1 species